GUGACCUUACCUCUUGCCGCGUUGUCUCGGCGGGAGGCGGUGGGCGUCGCGCGCCCUAGCGGGCCGCGCCGCUCCCGUCCCCGCCGGCGGCGCCAAACUCUAAAUUUACAGCGGACUGUACGUUCUGAUUUACAAUAAAAACAAGUUAAAACUUUCAACAACGGAUCUCUUGGUUCUGGCAUCGAUGAAGAACGCAGCGAAAUGCGAUAAGUAAUGUGAAUUGCAGAAUUCAGUGAACCAUCGAAUCUUUGAACGCACAUUGCGCCCGGCAGUAAUCUGCCGGGCAUGCCUGUCCGAGCGUCAUUUCUGCCCUCGAGCGAGUCCAGCAUCUAGGUGCUGGGCCUCGCCCGGCGUUGGGGCACUACGGGAAGCCCUGUGCUGUCCCCCGUAGGCCCCGAAAUGAAGUGGCGGUCCUGCCGCGGCGCCCCCUGCGUAGUAUAACAGCUCGCUUCGGGACCCGGUGGAGGCCUGCCGUCAAACCUAUACUCUCUAAGUUUGACCUCGGAUCAG
rnacentral:rRNA from 1 species